AUUGAACGCUGGCGGCAGGCCUAACACAUGCAAGUCGAGCGGAUGAAGGGAGCUUGCUCCCGGAUUCAGCGGCGGACGGGUGAGUAAUGCCUAGGAAUCUGCCUGGUCGUGGGGGAUAACGUCCGGAAACGGGCGCUAAUACCGCAUACGUCCUGAGGGAGAAAGUGGGGGAUCUUCGGACCUCACGCUAUCAGAUGAGCCUAGGUCGGAUUAGCUAGUUGGUGGGGUAAAGGCCUACCAAGGCGACGAUCCGUAACUGGUCUGAGAGGAUGAUCAGUCACACUGGAACUGAGACACGGUCCAGACUCCUACGGGAGGCAGCAGUGGGGAAUAUUGGACAAUGGGCGAAAGCCUGAUCCAGCCAUGCCGCGUGUGUGAAGAAGGUCUUCGGAUUGUAAAGCACUUUAAGUUGGGAGGAAGGGCAGUAAGUUAAUACCUUGCUGUUUUGACGUUACCAACAGAAUAAGCACCGGCUAACUUCGUG
rnacentral:rRNA from 1 species